AUGAUCUUGGCUCACUGCAGCCUCCGCCUCCCAAGUUCAAGUGAUUCUCCUGCCUCAGCCUCCUGUACGAGUUCAACUUUAUCAGAUUCCAUGUAUUCCGUUUCAGGCUGGCUUAUUCAUGGUGGCAAGAUGUCUGUGAAGUGCAACUCAGCCAACAACAACUUUUCUAAGGAGAGAGGAGCUAUCGUUUCCUACAGUCAUUGCAUAGAAGUCCUGAGCUUCCUUCUGAUUGGACCAUUCCAUGACCAGUCAUUGAAGAUGUGCCAUGUGCUGAUUGGCUCAGGCUCAAAAACCUAUCACUUUAUCAAAGUCUUGCUCUUGUUGCCCAGGCUGAAGUACAAUGGCGUGAUCUCAGCUCACCACAACCUCUGCCUCCGGGAUUCAAGAGAUUCUCCUGCCUGAGCCUCCUGAGUAGCUUGGAUUACAGGUAUGUGCCACCACACCCAGCCAAUUUUUGUAUUUUUAGUAGAGACGAGGUUUCUCCCUGGUGGUCAGAUUGGUCUCGAAUUCUCGACCUUAGUUGAUCUGCUUGCCUCAGCCACCCAAAGUGCUGGGAUUACAGGCAUGAGCCACUGAGCCCGGCCAAAUUGUUCUAUAUUUUGAUGAAGGUGUUACAGGAUAUUUUCAUUUGCAAAAAUUUAUAAACUGUAGACCUUAGAUCUAUGCAUUUUACCAUAUAUAAAUUAUAUCUCAGUUUAAGCAUAGAAAAGUUAAACCGAUGAUUAUGAUAUACUUGGCUAAUGUCCAUAUGGUACAGUGUGCCAAAAAGAAAAAUAACGCCCUAUUGAGAAGGUAGACAUGUACUGCAAGCAUCAGCUAUGAAAACAGAAAAGCCGAAGACAUUAUUAAUGGACCGAGCUGGGAUUUUUCCAGUUGCGGGGAGCUGAGCCUCUUCUGUAAUGUGUUUAAUCACUUCUAAUUGUACAGCCAGCUAAUUAUAGUAAUUAGUCUUGCCUUAGUUCAACAGAGUUGAACUAAGUCAUUCUCUUAGCAGCACUGGGUUGGAUUUUCCUGCAUCUAGCAACUUCCUCAGAUUGUGGCCUGCAAUGGUGCAUUCCUGGGGCUCCAGAAAUGAUCUGUUUGUGCUGGGUUUUCACGAUUGAGUGUUUGCAGGGUGAGGGAUGUGACUAAUCACGCGUGUCAGGUCUCUGAGCACAGCAAGAGCACUUUGGGCUCUGCACCGCACCACUCUCAGCAUUCUGAUCCAGCCUCGCUUCGGUCCAAGUCAAUCACAUUUUGAAAACAGACAGGAUUAUUCACUGCAGCACUGUUUGUAAUAGCAAAAUAAUAGAAACAGUCUGCAGGACAGGAGACUGAUUAAAUAAAUUAUGGUUCAUCCACGUAACGUAAUACCGAGAAAAAGAAUGAAGAUGCUCUCCAUGUACUGAUCUGGAAAGAGCUGCAAGUUAUACUAUUACAUGAAAGAAGCAGAACCGAGUGCUUAGUGAGGCCAUUUGUAUAAAAUAUGAGUAUAGGUUUGUAUUGUCUUGUUUAUGUAUAAAGAAACUAAAAAGAGAUAAAGUUAGUAACAGAGGAGAUGUUUAUGCGGGAGGGCAAGGGAAUUGUGGGCAGGAGGUUUGGGAAGUGAGUGGAAAAGGGAUGGAAUUAGGGAAGACUUUUCACUGCAAAAUCUUUUUGAAAUAGAUUUUUAAAUAUUCAAGUGAAUGUAUUAUUACCCAAUGAAAGAUCGAAAUCAAUUAAUUAAAAUGGACAAGAGUUUUUAAAAAUAGAAGAAAGUUGUAGAGGAAGGAAGAGUCCAGUGAUCAUAUAAUUUAACAUUUCCCAAAUAUUGGUUUGAAAAGAUACAAUGCGAAAUUUGUGUAUUUAAAGCAAUAGUGGGCCAGGUCUGGUGGCUCAUGCCUAUACUUUGGGAGGCAGAAGCAGGCAGAUCAUUUGAACCCAGGAGUUCAAGACCUCCCAGGGCAACAUAGUGAGACUCUGUCUUGACCAAAAAAAAAAAAAAAUUAAAAAUUAAAUAAUGGGCAUGGUAGUGCUUGUCUGUAGUCCCAGCUAUUCAGUAGGCUGCGAUGGGAGGAUUGCUUGAGCCCAGGAGGUUCAGGCUGCAGUGAGCCAUGACUGUGUCACUGCACUCCAGCCUGGGUGACAGUGAGACCCUGCCUCAAAAAAUAAAAUAAAAUAAAAUAAAAUAAAGCAAUAGUGGAAUCUAUUUUGACUCCUACUUCUUUAUGUUUAUGCAUAAUUUUUUUUGAGAUGAAGUUUCACUUUUGUUGACCAAGUUGGGGUGCAGUGGCAUGAUCUCGGGUGCUCACUGCAUUCGCCAACUCUGAGGUUCAAGUGAUUCUCCUUCCUCAGCCUCCCAAGUAGCUGAAGUAGCUGAGAUUACUGGCAUGAACCACUAGACCUGUCUACUUUUACAUUUUUAGUAGAGAUGGAGUUUCACCAUUUUGGCCAGGCUGGUCUAAAACUCCUGACCUCGGGUCAUCCACCUGCCUUGGCAUCCCAAAGUGCUGGGAUUACAUGCAGUGCCUGGCCCAUAAAAGAAUUUUUAAGCAGUUGUUUUCCCAUUAUGACAAAACUCUCUGAGAGCACCUGGAGUGUGGAGUGGACACACCAGACAGCCAUGGAGAGUAGGUGUCCAGGCUGUGACUCAGUUGCUUAGGCAUCUUUCUGCUUGAAAACAUUUCUUCUUGUGCUUGUACAAUUAAAUAUAUAUAUAAAUUUUUGAGACAGAGUCUGUCACUCUUUUGCCUAGCCUAGAGCGCAGUGGUAUGAUCUCAGCUCACUGCAACCUCUGCCUCCUGGUUUCAAGUGAUUCUCCUGCCUCAGCCUCCAGAGUAGCUGAGAUUAUAGCUUGUACCACCAUACCUGGCUCAUUUUUUGUUUGUAUUUUUAGUAGAGACAGAGUUUCACCAUGUUGGCCAGGCUGGUCUUGAACUCCUGACCUGAGGUGAUCCACCUGCCUUAGCCUCCCAAAGUGCUGGAAUUAUAGGUAUGAGCCACUGUGCCUGGCCUGUUUUUAUUCUUAACCAUGUUUAAUUAAUACUCCAAAUGGUCCAGGAAUCAAAAAGAAUCUUGCCAUUGAACACAGCUACGUAAUGUAGAACAUGAAAAUUAUUAUUCUACAAAUAUGCCUCAGGACUUUUUCUCUAGAUCUGAAAACUGAGAUUAAUCAACUUCUCAUAUAGAAUAUUCAGUGGUUCCACUUUAUAAUCUAGCAUUAAUGUGACACUAUUGCAACCAGUAUAUGAAAUGAUUUUCUAAAUAUUUAUAAAUAAAGACUAUAUUUGAUGUGUCAUUUAUAAAUAAAAGAUGAAAUUAUUAAAGUAAACUAGUGGAUUUUGGGUGUGCAAAAUGUGAGAAUUUCAUAUACGUAUUAUCUAUGGGGCAGUAACAUCAUGAUGACUUUAGAAAUUAGUUUAGGAAAGUCACUAAGCAAAGAACAACCAUAACAAGGAGCAAUAAGUACAAACCCUGGGGAGGGAGGAGAAUCUGAUUGCCAGAAACGCUACAUUAUAUUAUUUAAAAUGUCCAGUUUUCAACAAAAAGUAUGAGACAUGCAAAGAUACAAGAAAG
ensembl:lncRNA